rnacentral:rRNA from 1 species
UACAGAGGGGCGAGCGUUGUUCGGAAUUAUGCUAGGGCGUAAAGGCGCGUAGGCGGCCUGCUAAGUCCGGACGUCGGAAAUCCCGUCGGCUCAACCGGGGAACUGCGUCCGAUACUGGAUUGGCUUGAAUUCGGGAGAAGGGAUGCGGAAUUCCAGGUGUAGCGGUGAAAUGCGUUGAUAUCCUAGGGAACACCGGUGGC